UUCUUGGAUGAGGAACCAACCGACAAGCACAUCUGGCGGCGGCGGCUUCAUCGAAACUUUCCGAUCGGCGAUUCCCCCUUUUCACCACGGCGACAAAGUAUAGGAAAAGGGGCGCAAUUAUCAUGGGCCGUUAUAGCGCUGAAGCGGACAAAGAAGACGACGACGACAACCAGGAUCCCUAACGUCAGACGUCAGAUGUGUUUGGUUUUCGUCCAGCUGUCACGCGUCGUCGUCGUCGUUAUCGUGUCCUUAUGGGUGUCCCAUCACCCUUGACGAAAAUCGACCUCUACCGCGACAGCAGCGGCAGCAUAUCUCACACCACACGAAACAGAAACGGUGAAAACUUAAUACAUCGACGCAGACGCGCAGCAGUUCCUGCACGAAGUUAGAGGGAAUUUGUGGCAUGGUCUGGGUCGGCUUUCCCGUUCGAUGCACGAUAGAUGGAAGUGUCCUGAGUUGGGAGAUGUGAUAAAUUUGGUUUAUAUUAUGUUCAUUUGAUUCGGAAAAUGAUUUUGAUGAGCUUACUGUAGAAGUUAGGAUGAAUAUCAAGUAGAAAUUUGGAUAAAUUGUUCGUGAAGUUUCUCCCGUACAAAUGUAAAACAUUUUUCAUGAAAAAUCUGAAUAAAUUCCGUAAUAAUUGAAAAGAUUUUUUUGGAAAAUAUUUCUGACAUUUUAUGAAUAUCGUUUGGUCAAAUUAUAUUUCGUCGAAAAGACGUUUAUUCGAAUAGACAUUUGGUCGAGAGAGAAAGAGAGAGAAAUAUGAAAUGUGGAACUGCUGAGGAGUUCUGGAAGAUUUUUUUUUGUUAAAAUUUAGGCAAUUUACGUUAGGGUUAUGUCAUUACAAAAGCAAAGCUCUUCAUGCAACGUCUAUGAGCAUUGAAGCAAGGUAAUGU